rnacentral:lncRNA from 10 species
AACUGCUGUCUAGAAAACCGAGGAAAGUGACGCAACCCGCGGGAGGUCUGACGGCCCGAGAGCCGCAGCGCCAGGCCCGGGAGCCAGCCCCGUCCACUUCCCCGGUGGAUUCUUCUCCGUUCCCCGCCGGCCGCCCCAGGUGAAGCUCCUUUCCGCCGUCAGAAGGAGGCUCCCAGCGGGAAGCAGCAUCGAGGGCGACCCAGGGCCAGCACGGGAAAUGCCAGGGACCGCGUCAGCCGAGCCUGCUGGAACCCCGCUCCUCGCUGCAGACGCCGUUCCGCCUGAGGACAGUACUCGGGCAUGGGGAGUCAGGUGCCCGCCACAGGAACGCAAGAGACCGCGCCGGACCAGCGAAAAAGCUCCAUGCUCUCCUGGUUUUCCAACCCGACGCCGCGGCCUGCGGCCACUCUAGGACGCCGGAGGGUCCUCCUCUCAGUGGUUGGGGCUGGGCCGCCCUGCGCCGGGAGCCGCCCACCUUCGGGCUGGGCCGGGCCUGGCCAGAGUCUGGGCUAAGCGCAGGGCCUGCAUGAAUCUUCAGCCUGGGAGGUGGGGCAGGAGCACGGAGAAGUCUCGAAGAAGUGGAGGAAGCACGCACUGGCUGCCGCGGGAAAAGCUCAGCCAGCAACUGUAUCAGCUUUACAUUCGACCCUCCUUUGCUGCAUGGCAAAAAGAAAAUAAACUACCAUUUCUUAGUUCGUG